UGGGGUAUGGCUCAGCGUUAGAGCGCUUGCCUAGCACAUGCAAGGCCCUGGGUUCGAUCCUCAGUACCACAU
rnacentral:tRNA from 1 species